rnacentral:rRNA from 1 species
GACGAACGCUGGCGGCGUGCUUAACACAUGCAAGUCGAGCGGUAAGGCCCUUUCGGGGGUACACGAGCGGCGAACGGGUGAGUAACACGUGGGUGACCUGCCCUCAGCUCUGGGAUAAGCCUGGGAAACCGGGUCUAAUACUGGAUAUGACUCCAUGACGCAUGUUGUGGGGUGGAAAGCCUUGUGCGGCUGAGGAUGGGCCCGCGGCCUAUCAGCUUGUUGGUGGGGGNGAUGGCCUACCAAGGCGACGACGGGUAGCCGGCCUGAGAGGGCGACCGGCCACACUGGGACUGAGACACGGCCCAGACUCCUACGGGAGGCAGCAGUGGGGAAUCUUGCGCAAUGGGCGAAAGCCUGACGCAGCGACGCCGCGUGAGGGAUGACGGCCUGUGUAAC